UACGUAGGGUGCAAGCGUUGUCCGGAAUUAUUGGGCGUAAAGAGCUCGUAGGCGGUCUGUCACGUCGGCUGUGAAAACCCGAGGCUCAACCUCGGGCCUGCAGUCGAUACGGGCAGACUAGAGUUCGGUAGGGGAGACUGGAAUUCCUGGUGUAGCGGUGGAAUGCGCAGAUAUCAGGAGGAACACCGAUGGCGAAGGCAGGUCUCUGGGCCACUACUGACGCUGAGAAGCGAAAGCAUGGGGAGCGAACAGG
rnacentral:rRNA from 1 species